AUUGAACGCUGGCGGCAGGCCUAACACAUGCAAGUCGAGCGAGCGGCGGACGGGUGAGUAAUGUCCGGGAAACUGCCUGAUGGAGGGGGAUAACUACUGGAAACGGUAGCUAAUAACGCAUACCAUCAGAUGUGCCCAGAUGGGAUUAGCUAGUAGGUGGGGUAACGGCCAACCUAGGCGACGAUCCCUAGCCGGUCUGAGAGGAUGACCAGCCACACUGGAACUGAGACACGGUCCAGACUCCUACGGGAGGCAGCAGUGGGGAAUAUUGCACAAUGGGCGCAAGGCUGAUGGAGCCAUGCCGCGUGUGUGAAGAAGGCCUUCGGGUUGUAAAGCACUUUCAGCGGGGAGGCGUUACCCGCAGAAGAAGCACCGGCUAACUCCGUGCCAGCAGCCGCGGUAAUAC
rnacentral:rRNA from 1 species